UGUUGAAAACAUUUUGUGAAU
rnacentral:piRNA from 1 species